rnacentral:rRNA from 1 species
AUGAUUAAAACAAGACCAUCUUUUCUAAAGCUCCUCCAGCGUCGACCGGGUUGCUUGGUGCUUCUUCUCCUUCUCCUUGCUUCCGUGAUGAUGUGCCCUCUUGUUUGGUCGUCACCGAUGAUGACCGUGGGACGGCUGCCGGAGCUAACCCUCCUCGCCGGAGCGAUGGAGAAGGGCGCAGUGUGCUUGGAUGGAAGCCCGCCGGCUUACCAAUUGGAGAGAGGCUUCGGCUCCGGAUCUCACAGCUGGCUCGUCUAUCUAGAGGGAGGAGGGUGGUGCAGCACCGUUGAGGCUUGUUCGAAGCACACAAAAUCCGCGCUUGGUUCAUCUAACUUUAUGGAAGCGGUGCAGUAUGCUGGAAUUUUCAGCAAUGACCAGAGCCAAAAUUCUGAUUUCUACAACUGGAAUAAAGUUUUCGUGCGGUAUUGUGAUGGGGCGUCAUUUUCUGGGGAUGCGGAGUACGAAGAUCAAGAUGGAAACAGGCUAUUCUUCAGAGGGUUGCACAUUUGGGAAGCGAUCAUUGAUGAACUCAUGGAGAAAGGACUUGCUAAUGCUAAACAGGCCCUUCUUGCAGGUUGUUCUUCUGGUGGUUUAGCCACACUACUGCACUGUGAUGAUUUUAGUGCACGUUUUCCUCGGAAGGUUGCAGUUAAAUGCUUUUCUGAUGCUGGAUUUUUUCUUGACAAAAAGGAUAUAGACGGAGAAAGUUUUUUCCGGUCCGUGUACAAUGGGGUUGUUCACCUCCAGAAUGUUAGAAAAGUUUUGCCCAAGGACUGCCUCGCUAAGAUGGAACCACUGGAUUGUUUCUUUCCUUCUGAGCUUAUUAAGAGCAUCAACACCCCCACUUUUAUUCUCAACUCUGGAUAUGACUCUUGGCAGAUACAAAAUGUACUAGUACCAGAUGAAUCCUCUCCUGAAAAGUCAUGGUUGACUUGCAAGGCUAACAUCCGAGACUGUGAUUCCACACAAAUCGAAGUCCUUCAUGGAUUCAGGAAAACAAUGGUGGGUGAUCUGAAAGUCGUCCAAGAUAAGGAGGAGUGGGGAUUGUUCAUUGAUUCGUGCUUCACCCACUGCCAAAAACCAUUUAAAAUCUCAUGGGAUUCACCAAUUUCCCCAAGGCUUGGAAAUAAGGGCUCAAAGCUGCCGGAUGCCAUUACCGUGCAACUCCCCAACCUGGACAUUCUAGUUGUCGACCUGCACGAGCACCGCAAGAUCUCCCGCAUCGGCCCUCAUGAUCCUUCCCCGUUUUCCUCCGAUGAUGCUGACUCUGACAGCGACCACGACGGUAGUGGCUUGGAUGGCAGCAGCUCCAGCCUAGGGUUCCUUCGCGACUCUGCUGCCAUGGCUGCCCUGGGCCCGAUGGUUGUUUCUCCUGAGUUCCCCCAGGGUCCCCCCUCCUCCCCUUCCCGCAACGCCGACCUCGCAGCCAACGCCUUCGUCCACCUCGCCCUCUCAUCUUCGGACGAGGACGUGCCUGUUGCCAACCUUGGACCGGCCUCUCCGGCUGUCCUCGAUGGCAUCCUGCUCAACGACCCACCUCAGCCCUCUGAUCUGUCCAAUACCACUGUCGCCUUGCCGCCAUCGCCUACCUCACCAGCCCCGUAUCAGGCCACCCCUCCCCCUAGCAGCAACCACACCCUGCCAGCGCCACACACAGUCCAGAGCUCCAUUCCUCCUCCUCCUGCCACUGCCGCUCCUUCUUCGGGGUCGGGAGUGCUGCGCACUUACGUGCAUUGCCCGCGCUCCGCUGCCCAGACUGGUGCGCCGGUCUUGGUUCCCGACGCUCCUGUGCACGUUUCUGUGGCGAACAAAUGCCACAACGUGAAGAAGCGGGCCAAGGAUGCUGUCCACAUUCGUCGGAGCGCUCGCCUGGCCAAGCUUGAGCCUUAUGAGCGCCUCCACAUGGAAGACAAGGCGUCCAAGGCCAAGGCUAAGCGCCUGGACCUGCAGCAUGACGCCAAGGAUUUUGAAGAUGCCGUUCGCAACGCCAAGCUGGCCGACGAUGACCUGGAGCCAGCCUCUCCAAACGCCCUGGCGGCUCUGGCCCAGGCUUGCGGCUCAUCCAUGGAGGAGGCGGACCUCAUUGCUUCAUCGGUGCCCGCUGCACACAAGUGA